GGAAUCUUCCACAAUGGACGCAAGUCUGAUGGAGCAACGCCGCGUGAGUGAAGAAGGGUUUCGGCUCGUAAAGCUCUGUUGUUAAAGAAGAACGUGGGUAAGAGUAACUGUUUACCCAGUGACGGUAUUUAACCAGAAAGCCACGGCUAACUACGUGCCAGCAGCCGCGGUAAUACGUAGGUGGCAAGCGUUAUCCGGAUUUAUUGGGCGUAAAGCGAGCGCAGGCGGUCUUUUAAGUCUAAUGUGAAAGCCUUCGGCUCAACCGAAGAAGUGCAUUGGAAACUGGGAGACUUGAGUGCAGAAGAGGACAGUGGAACUCCAUGUGUAGCGGUGAAAUGCGUAGAUAUAUGGAAGAACACCAGUGGCGAAGGCGGCUGUCUGGUCUGCAACUGACGCUGAGGCUCGAAAGCAUGGGUAGCGAACA
rnacentral:rRNA from 1 species